GAUGAACGCUGGCGGCGUGCCUAAUACAUGCCAGUCGAGCGAACGGACGAGAAGCUUGCUUCUCUGAUGUUACCGGCGGACGGGUGAGUAACACGUGGAUAACCUACCUAUAAGACUGGGAUAACUUCGGGAAACCGGAUCUAACACCGGAUAAUAUUUUGAACCGCAUGGUUCAAAAGAGAAAGACGGUCUUGCUGUCACUUAUACAUGGAUCCGGGCUGCAUUAGCUAGUUGGUAAGGAAACGGCUUACCAAGGCAAGGAUGCAUAGCCGACCAGGGAGAGGAUUCGGCACACCGGGACCUAGAACAGGUCCCAGACCCCUAGGGGAGGAAGAAGUGGGGAAUUUUCAGAAAGGGGCGAAAGCCUAACGAGGCAACGCCGCGUGAGUGAUGAAGGCCUUCGGUUCGUAAAACUCUUUUAUUAGGGAAAAACACAUGUGUAAGUAACUGUGCACAUCUUGACGGUACAAAAGAAGAAGGCCACGGCUAACUACUU
rnacentral:rRNA from 1 species